rnacentral:rRNA from 1 species
UAAGGAAUAUUGGUCAAUGGACGCAAGUCUGAACCAGCCAUGCCGCGUGGAGGAUGAAGGCCCUCUGGGUUGUAAACUUCUUUUAUAGGGGACGAAACCCUGGUAUUCUUACCAGAUUGACGGUACCCUAGGAAUAAGCACCGGCUAACUCCGUGCCAGCAGCCGCGGUAAUACGGAGGGUGCAAGCGUUAUCCGGAUUCACUGGGUUUAAAGGGUGCGUAGGAGGGCAGGUAAGUCAGUGGUGAAAUCUCCAAGCUUAACUUGGAAACUGCCGUUGAUACUAUCUGUCUUGAAUAUUGUGGAGGUGAGCGGAAUAUGUCAUGUAGCGGUGAAAUGCUUAGAUAUGACAUAGAACACCAAUUGCGAAGGCAGCUCACUACUCAAUCAUUGACUCUGAGGCACGAAAGCGUGGGGAUCAAACAGGAUUAGAUACCCUGGUAGUCCACGCCCUAAACUAUGGAUACUCGACAUACGCGAUAU